rnacentral:siRNA from 1 species
CAUGAGGUUACCACUGAC